rnacentral:rRNA from 1 species
CCUACGGGGGGCAGCAGUGGGGGAUAUUGCACAAUGGGGGGAACCCUGAUGCAGCGACGCCGCGUGGGUGAAGGAGCGUUUCGGCGCGUAAAGCCCUAUCGGCAGGGAAGAAGGAGGACGGUACCUGACUAAGACGCCCCGGCUAAAUACGUGCCAGCAGCCGCGGUAAUACGUAGGGGGCAAGCGUUAUCCGGAUUUACUGGGUGUAAGGGGGGGGCAGACGGCAGCGCAAGCCAGGAGUGAAAGCCCGGGGCCCAACCCCGGGACUGCUCUUGGAACUGCGCGGCUGGAGUGCAGGAGGGGCAGGCGGAAUUCCUGGUGUAGCGGUGAAAUGCGUAGAUAUUAGGAGGAACACCGGUGGCGAAGGCGGCCUACUGGACUGCGACUGACGUUGAGGCCCGAAAGCGUGGGGAGCAAACAGGAUUAGAUACCCCAGUAGUC